CUACGGGAGGCACCAGUGGGGAAUAUUGGACAAUGGGGGAAACCCUGAUCCAGCAAUGCCGCGUGUGUGAAGAAGGCCUGCGGGUUGUAAAGCACUUUCGGUUGGGAGGACUGCUUCUAGCACUAAUAUUGUUGGAAGUUGACGUUACCUUCAGAAGAAGCACCGGCUAACUCCGUGCCAGCAGCCGCGGUAAUACGGAGGGUGCAAGCGUUAAUCGGAAUUACUGGGCGUAAAGCGCGCGUAGGCGGCUAGAUCAGUCGGGUGUGAAAGCCCCGGGCUUAACCUGGGAACUGCAUCCGAUACUGUCUAGCUUGAGUACAGGAGAGGAGAGUGGAAUUCCACAUGUAGCGGUGAAAUGCAUAGAUAUGUGGAGGAACACCAAUGGCGAAGGCAGCUCUCUGGCCUGAUACUGACGCCGAGGUGCGAAAGCGUGGGGAGCAAACAGGAUUAGAUACCCCUGUAGUC
rnacentral:rRNA from 1 species